rnacentral:rRNA from 1 species
UACAGAGGGGGCAAGCGUUGUUCGGAAUUACUGGGCGUAAAGGGCGCGUAGGCGGCCUGUUAAGUCGAACGUGAAAUCCCCGGGCUCAACCCGGGAACUGCGUCCGAUACUGGCUGGCUUGAAUCCGGGAGAGGGAUGCGGAAUUCCAGGUGUAGCGGUGAAAUGCGUAGAUAUCUGGAGGAACACCGGUGGCGAAGGCGACUCGCUGGACAGGUAUUGACGCUGAGGUGCGAAAGCGUGGGGAGCAAACAGG